rnacentral:rRNA from 1 species
GAUGAACGCUAGCGACGGGCCUAAUACAUGCAAGUCGCGCGAACAGACGAGGGGCUUGCUCCUCUGACGAUAGCGGCGGGCGGGUGGGUGACAAGUGGGUAACCUACCUAUAAGACUGGAAUGACUAAGGGAACCCGGAGCGAAUACCGGCUAAUAUAUUUAACUGCAUGGUUCAAUAGUGAAAGACGGGUUUGCUGUCACUUAUAUAUGGAUCCGCGCCGCAUUAGCUAGUUGGUAAGGUAACGGCAUACCAAGGCAACGAUGCGUAGCCGACGUGAGAGGGUGAUCGGCCACCCCAGAACUGAGACACGGUCCAGACUACUCCGGGAGGCGGCAGUAGGGAGACUUCUGCUAUGGGAGAAGGCCUGACGUGGCAACGCCACGUGAGUGAUGAAGUUCCUCGGAUCGUAAUACUCUGCUAUUAGGGUAGAACAAAUAUGUAAGUAACUAUUCGCUUCUUGACGGUACCUAAUCAGAAAGCCCCGGCUAAUUACGUG